CUCGGGUAGCCUACAUAUCUAUAAGAAUGGAGACAAGUAAACAGGUGAUUAAAAUAAGGAGCUUCCAGGAGAACACCCAAGCAUUCCCCAGUGUUACCAUAUCAUCCACCCAGUGUCUGAGGAGGAAAUGCAGGGAGGUGUCUGUGGGACUCCGUUGAGUGCUGCCCUCUAGAGGUGUCACUGAGAAAAACACGUUCUAGUCCAGACCACAGUCCCUCAGUAACUGCCUGAGAGGGUUUUCUUCCGGAGUGAGUCUUCGACAACUCAGGAGAUCUUGUCCCUUGGAUGGUAGCAGAAAAAGAGGGUUUCAGGUGAGGUGGCGUCCUGUGAGGGGAACUUCCAGUGAGCCCCUUCAGCCUCACAGCGCCGUGUGGAACUGAGCCUUGGGACGGCACUUUCUCCAUUGCUUCACGAAGGCUCGGGACCUUAGCCUCACCCUUUCUCAAUCCUACGAAUAAGCACACAAGAAAUCCACACACCGUCAUUCCAGAUGAGGGAACUAAUGCUUAAAGACGUUAAGUGAUGAUUCCCAG
rnacentral:lncRNA from 10 species